rnacentral:misc_RNA from 1 species
GAUGAAGAACGUAGCGAAAUGCGAUAAGUAAUGUGAAUUGCAGAAUUCACUGAAUCAUCGAAUCUUUGAACGCACCUUGCGCUCCUUGGUAUUCCGAGGAGCAUGCCUGUUUGAGUGUCAUUAAAUUCUCAACCUCACCAGUUUUGUAACGAGACAGGUGAAGGCUUGGAUGUGGGGGUUUUGCAGGCUGCCUCAGUGCUGGUCUGCUCUCCUGAAAUGCAUUAGCGAGCUCAUAUUGAGCUUCCGUCUAUUGGUGUGAUAAUUAUCUACGCCGUGGAUUGGACUCAUGCUUGCUUCUAGCCGUCCGCAAGGACAAUUUACUUGACCAAUUUGACCUCAAAUCAGGUAGGACUACCCGCUGAACUUAAGCAUAUCAAUAAGCGGAGGA